GGGGAUGUAGCUCAGUUGGCUAGAGCGCUUGACUGGCAGUCAAGAGGUCGCCAGUUCGAAUCUGGUCUUCUCCA
rnacentral:tRNA from 1 species